rnacentral:rRNA from 1 species
UACGGAGGGUGCAAGCGUUGUCCGGAUUUAUUGGGCGUAAAGAGCUCGUAGGCGGCUUGUCGCGUCGAAUGUGAAAACCUGCAGCUCAACUGCAGGCUUGCGGUCGAUACGGGCAGGCUAGAGUUCGGUAGGGGAGACUGGAAUUCCUGGUGUAGCGGUGAAAUGCGCAGAUAUCAGGAGGAACACCGGUGGCGAAGGCGGAUCUCUGGGCCGAUACUGACGCUGAGGAGCGAAAGCGUGGGGAGCGAACAGG